ensembl:snRNA U1 U1 spliceosomal RNA
UUACUUACCUAGCAGGGGAGACACCAUGAAUGUUCACCCAGGGCGAGGCUCGUCCAUUGCACUCCGGUCGUGCUGACCCCUGCGAAUUCCCCAAAUGUGGGAAUCUCGACUGCAUAAUUUAUGGUAGUGGCGCACUGCGUUUGUGCUCUCCCCUG